UACGUAGGGGGCGAGCGUUGUCCGGAAUUAUUGGGCGUAAAGGGUUCGUAGGCGGUAAUACAUGUCAGAUGUGAAAUCUUGUGGCUUAACCACAUCAAGCAUCUGAAACUGUAUAACUUGAGUGGAGGAGAGGUAAGUGGAAUUCCUAGUGUAGCGGUGAAAUGCGUAGAUAUCACGAGGAACUCCGAUUGCGCAGGCAGCUUACUAAACUACUACUGACGCUCAGGCACGAAGGCGUGGGGAUCAAACAGGAUUAGAUA
rnacentral:rRNA from 1 species